rnacentral:rRNA from 1 species
CCUACGGGAGGCAGCGGUGGGGAAGUAUUGGACAAUGGGCGAAAGCCUGAUCCAGCAAUGCCGCGUGAGUGAUGAAGGCCUUAGGGUCGUAAAGCUCUUUUACCCGGGAUGAUAAUGACAGUACCGGGAGAAUAAGCCCCGGCUAACUCCGUGCCAGCAGCCGCGGUAAUACGGAGGGGGCUAGCGUUGUUCGGAAUUACUGGGCGUAAAGCGUGCGUAGGCGGUUAUUCAAGUCAGAGGUGAAAGCCCGGGGCUCAACCCCGGAACGGCCUUUGAAACUAGGUAGCUAGAAUCUUGGAGAGGUCAGUGGAAUUCCGAGUGUAGAGGUGAAAUUCGUAGAUAUUCGGAAGAACACCAGUGGCGAAGGCGACUGACUGGACAAGUAUUGACGCUGAGGCACGAAAGCGUGGGGAGCAAACAGGAUUAGAUACCCUGGUAGUCCACGCCGUAAACGAUGAUAACUAGCUGUUCGGGUACUUGGUAUCUGAGUGGCGCAGCUAACGCAUUAAGUAUCCGCCUGGGGAGUACGGUCGCAAGNUUAAAACUCAAAGGAAUUGAACGG